CAAAGCCAUUUCAGAAGCUAAUUCUUAUUUGAACAUCUCACUGUCACUGAUUUCAGGAGAAUGUACCCAUCAGAAUGGGAGGAUGAGAGACAUGCAUGGAAGACCUUUUCCGGGCAUCUACCUGAGAAAUCAGAAACUAAAUGAGAAUAUCUACCACGUAAGAUGUUCCUUUGAAAAGGAUGUGUCUGGGACCAGGACACACAGUGAUGUUUGCCUUUCUGUGGCAGCUGGGAUAUGUACCAGAAGGAAUCCCUGGGAUGGAGAGAAGAUUCCAUUUUUACAGAACUACUGAGAACAGUCAAAGGAGAAGACUUUUCAGUUGAUAAUGAAUAAACUGCAUCUAAAGAGAUAUGGAAGUGAGAAAUACAUGACUGUUCUUG